rnacentral:tRNA from 3 species
GCUAGAAUAGCUCAGCCGGUAGAGCAGCUGAUUCGUAAUCAGCAGGUCGCGUGUUCGAGUCACGUUUCUAGCUCCA